UGAGGAAUAUUGGUCAAUGGGCGGAAGCCUGAACCAGCCAAGUAGCGUGCAGGAUGACGGCCCUAUGGGUUGUAAACUGCUUUUAUACGGGGAUAAAGUCAGCCACGUGUGGUUGAUUGCAGGUACCGUAUGAAUAAGGACCGGCUAAUUCCGUGCCAGCAGCCGCGGUAAUACGGAAGGUCCGGGCGUUAUCCGGAUUUAUUGGGUUUAAAGGGAGCGCAGGCCGGAAGCAAAGCGUGCCGUGAAAUGUAGAUGCUCAACAUCUGAAUUGCGGCGCGAACUGGUUUUCUUGAGUGCAUACGAGGUAGGCGGAAUUUGUGGUGUAGCGGUGAAAUGCUUAGAUAUCACGAAGAACUCCGAUUGCGAAGGCAGCCUACCAGGAUGUAACUGACGCUAAAGC
rnacentral:rRNA from 1 species